rnacentral:rRNA from 1 species
AAUCAACGCUGGCGGCGUGCCUAACACAUGCAAGUCGCACGAGAAAGGGUCUUCGGAUCUGAGUAAAGUGGCGCACGGGUGAGUAACACGUGACUAAUCUACCCUCGAGUGGGGAAUAACCUAGGGAAACCUGGGCUAAUACCGCAUAACACUUACGAGUCAAAGCAGCAAUGCGCUUGGGGAGGAGGUCGCGGCAGAUUAGCUAGUUGGUGGGGUAAUGGCCCACCAAGGCGAUGAUCUGUAUCCGGCCUGAGAGGGCGCACGGACACACUGGAACUGAAACACGGUCCAGACUCCUACGGGAGGCAGCAGUGGGGAAUUUUGCGCAAUGGGGGAAACCCUGACGCAGCAACGCCGCGUGGAGGAUGAAGUCGUCUUGGGACGUAAACUCCUUUCGACAGGGACGAUAAUGACGGUACCUGUAGAAGAAGCCCCGGCUAACUUCGUGCCAGCAGCCGCAGUAAC